AGUGACGUAUCCUCCGAAUCCUUUCGGCUUCCCUUUGUUCCUCAAGGAACCAGUACACCUCGUGGUCCUGCUCCUGUUGCAAGCUGGGGAGAGCCAGAACACAGAACCUACAUUGAUUCUAGAAC